AAUCCUUAUCCCGAAGUUACGGAUCUAAUUUGCCGACUUCCCUUACCUACAUUAUUCUAUCGACUAGAGACUCUUCACCUUGGAGACCAGCUGCGGAUAUUGGUACGGCCUGUUGAGAAGUUUGCGUGUCCCCACCAUAAAUUUUCAAGGUCCGAGGAGAAAAUAUCGACACAACAGUAUAUGUCAUGCUCUUCUAGCCUAGGGACUAGUAGAACCUAGUAGAUAGGGACAUAUGUCUUCUGAUCUCUCAGCCUUUAUUUAACGUGGCGGUUCCUCAGGAAGGGAUUUCAAUCACGGUGUUGAGUUGCCCGGGAUAAGAAGCUAUAGUAGAUAGGGACAUGUGUCUGCUGAUCUCUCAGCCUUUAUUUAACGUGGCGGUUCCUCAGGAAGGGAUUUCAACCACGUUGUUGAGUUGCCCGGGAUAAGAAGCUAUAGCAAAUACAUAGCGACUCGGCCCGGUACCAAUUGGAAAGUAUGCUAGUCGGGCAUACUUUCCCCCCUUGGUGAGGAGCGAAGGUGUAUCUAUCACCUCUUCCGAUCUAUGGGUCACGGCACCCGGUUGAGAAACGCAACUCCACGUCGAACCUAACGGCUCUGCCCGCGUAACAUUUGGGCUACCACAGCCACCACGAUACUCCCACUAGGGGGCCGACCUCAAUGUACAGCCUUGGAACGCUAAUACAACCCGUGGAACCAAGAUUUAGGGCUCAGUUGACCCUCCCCUUUUAGCCCCGACUGGCUCGGAUAGGGUACCCUUGAAGAGGACUCCCCGAGUCCGGGGCUCUCAGCCCGCUUGUCGCCGAUGGAUCCAGCAGUUGUAAUCGUCUGGAGAACGCCUCUCCCGCGUAUCUGUCCAAAAGCUGCAUCCUCUCCUGUGAAGCCACCACUUCCGAGAAGGUCCACUCGCCAUCAGUAAGCUGCAUUCCUAAUCCAUCGAGGUCUCGCAUAUCCGCAUAAAGGGGACAAACACAUAAGAC
rnacentral:lncRNA from 1 species